GCAUCCAUAGCUCAGCUGGAUAGAGUACUCGGCUACGAACCGAGCGGUCGGAGGUUCGAAUC
rnacentral:tRNA from 1 species